UACGUAGGGUGCAAGCGUUAUCCGGAAUUAUUGGGCGUAAAGAGCUCGUAGGCGGUUUGUCGCGUCUGCUGUGAAAACUGGAGGCUCAACCUCCAGCCUGCAGUGGGUACGGGCAGACUAGAGUGCGGUAGGGGAGAUUGGAAUUCCUGGUGUAGCGGUGGAAUGCGCAGAUAUCAGGAGGAACACCGAUGGCGAAGGCAGGUCACUGGGCCGCAACUGACGCUGGGGAGCGAAAGCAUGGGGAGCGAACAGG
rnacentral:rRNA from 1 species